UGGGGAAUAUUGCGCAAUGGGGGGAACCCUGACGCAGCAACGCCGCGUGAAGGAUGAAGGCUUUCGGGUUGUAAACUUCUUUGAUGAGGGACGAAAGAAAUGACGGUACCUCAAAAACAAGCCACGGCUAACUACGUGCCAGCAGCCGCGGUAAUACGUAGGUGGCGAGCGUUGUCCGGAAUUACUGGGUGUAAAGGGCGUGUAGGCGGGGAUGCAAGUCAGAUGUGAAAUGCCGGGGCUUAACUCCGGAGCUGCAUCUGAAACUGUGUUUCUUGAGUGUCGGAGAGGAAAGCGGAAUUCCCAGUGUAGCGGUGAAAUGCGUAGAUAUUGGGAGGAACACCAGUGGCGAAGGCGGCUUUCUGGACGAUAACUGACGCUGAGGCGCGAAAGCGUGGGGGAGCAAACAGGAUUAGAUACCCUGGUAGUCCACGCUGUAAACGAUGGAUACUAGGUGUAGGAGGUAUCGACCCCUUCUGUGCCGGAGUUAACACAAUAAGUAUCCCACCUGGGGGAGUACGGCCGCAAGGUUG
rnacentral:rRNA from 1 species